AUGUUAAUUCUUGACAAGCUUGCUAGCUUUGAUCUCGACAAUUGUAUAGAAAUCUGCAGAGACCCUGGUCUAACCACAAAGGUUAUACAGUUCACUAGCAAUAGACCCAACAUGACAUACAGUAAUGAGACACACAAGACACUGCUGAAACGUUCAUCACUGAAGCUACUGUGCAGACUUGCAAAGACUAAAGGGAAAAUUGGUGUAACUUUGCGUCAGAAUAUUUCAGAACAUCCCUUCCUUUUGAGCAAUCUUGUGGAGAUCUUGGAUAAUAAUGAUAGCAGCCAUGAACUGAGGGAGCUCACAACAGAACUCAUUAAGAACAUUGCCAUGGAGGAAAAGAUAAAGGAGGAGAUCGGACACAUCCCAGUGAUCAUUAGCAGGUUGAUGGAUGCAUUUCUCAGCCAAAGUGCUCUCUCAAGAACAGAUUCAGCUCAGUUGCUACAAAUGACCUCCGGGCAAGCAUUGGCAGUUCUGGCAAUGGAGAGUGCGAACAACUGCUUAAUUAUGUUAGCGGAACCACACUCAUUCAUCAAGGAACUCACAGUUAUGAUCCAUGGUGACAGGUACAGGUACGUAGCUUCGAGCCUGUUGCAGAAUAUGUGUGUGCAUGUUCGACCUGAGCUUGGCAACUCGGACCUGAAGGAAAUCUCCUACAUUCUGAGAGAGGUGCUGGAAGGAAUAAUGGAUGCAGAAGGGACUGAACUGGAGGUCCUUGUUGGCCUUAGUUCACAAAUAUGUAAUGUCAUUCCUGGCAAUUUUGCACGAGAACUAGAGCAUGGUCAGAUCAAGGAAAGAUUUAUAAGGAGGCUAGUCGAUGCACUUAACUCAAAUAUGAGACCCACUGCUCAUUGUCCCGGGAUCAGAAGGUCGAUAGUUGAACAUACCAUAUGCAUGAUGGAGUGUAAUCCUGAGUAUGCCGGCUGUUUCAAGGAAUGUUGGAUGAUGGAAGCACUGCUAAUGGUGGAGCGUACACCUUCAAGGGCUGAAAAGUACAGGUUCUUCUCGGGUGAUGCAGGACUCAUGGAGCACAGCAUACCUCUAUCCACACUUGUGGCUAGAGCAAAAGAACUGAUGGACCAUGAGUAG
rnacentral:rRNA from 1 species